CCAGACUCCUACGGGAGGCAGCAGUGGGGAAUAUUGCACAAUGGGGGAAACCCUGAUGCAGCGACGUCGCGUGAGUGAAGAAGUAUUUCGGUAUGUAAAGCUCUAUCAGCAGGAACGAGACAAGACGGUACCUGACUAAGAAGCCCCGGCUAACUACGUGCCAGCAGCCGCGGUAAUACGUAGGGGGCAAGCGUUAUCCGGAAUCACUGGGUGUAAAGGGAGCGUAGACGGCUGUGCAAGCCUGAAGUGAAAGGCGGGGGCCCAACCCCUGGACUGCUUUGGAAACUGUGCAGCUAGAGUGCAGGAGAGGUAAGUGGAAUUCCUAGUGUAGCGGUGAAGUGCGUAGAUAUUAGGAGGAACACCAGUGGCGAAGGCGGCUUACUGGACUGUAACUGACGUUGAGGCUCGAAAGCGUGGGGAGCAAACAGGAUUAGAUACCCCCGUAC
rnacentral:rRNA from 1 species